UACGUAGGUGACAAGCGUUGUCCGGAUUUACUGGGCGUAAAGAGCUCGCAGGCGGUCGUUCAAGUCGAGUGUGAAAGCCCCCGGCUCAACUGGGGAGGGUCAUUCGAUACUGAUCGACUCGAAGGCAGGAGAGGGUAGUGGAAUUCCCGGUGUAGUGGUGAAAUGCGUAGAUAUCGGGAGGAACACCAGUGGCGAAGGCGACUACCUGGCCUGUUCUUGACGCUGAGGCGCGAAAGCUAGGGGAGCAAACAGG
rnacentral:rRNA from 1 species